AUGUCAGAGCAGCAGGUGCUCGACUGCACGGGCGACACUAGCACCUGCAAGGGUGGCUCCGUCAUCGCCGCCCUACGUUACGUCGCCGCAAGCGGCGGCCUGCAGCCGGAGGCAGCCUACGCGUAUACCGGCCAGCAGGGCGCGUGCCGCAGCGUCAUGCCAAAUUCGGCCGCCUCCGUUGGCGCCCCCUGCUGGGUGGGCCUGAACGGCGAUGAGGACGCGUUGCGGGAGCUGGCUGCCAGCCAACCGGUGGCCGUGGGCGUGGAGGCGGACCCUGACUUUCAGCACUACAAGAGCGGCGUGUUCGUCGGUAGUUCGUCGUGCGGGCAGAACCUGAACCACGCCGUGACGGUGGUGGGGUACGGGGCGGACGGCGGCGGGCAGGAGUACUGGUUGGUGAAGAACCAGUGGGGGACGGGGUGGGGUGAGGGGGGCUAUAUGCGCCUCACGCGCGGGAACGGCGGAAACUGCGGCAUGGCCACCGUUGCCUACUAUCCGACCGUGGACAGCUCUUAA
rnacentral:rRNA from 1 species